UGUGACGCCAACCUCGCGCCCGUGCGAUCCGUGCGUCUCUCUGGAUUGGCGAAUCGACAGCCAAUAGAGUCAGCGGCCACGCUGUGAUAGGCUGCAUCCUUGUUGACGGAUGCGUGAGAAGAAAACGCCGCCUCAGCGCCGCGUCUGGAAUCGCGCGCGAAGCCGGGCAGCGACAAGUUAGUAUGGAAGCGCAUCUAAAAGGACGAACAUUCUCCAGCUAGUGUAGCUGAUAGUCACUUUUCCUCGUCGCGGCGAUGGAGUAUUUUUGAAACCGUAGUGUUUAUAAAGUGGGGUUGGAAAAACAAGAUCCUUCCCCUCUUGUUAUUACGCCUAUCAGCAACGUGCACAGUGCUGCGUCUGUUUCAGACAGCGCGGCAGUUUUCAGGCCGCUGCCUGGCCCCAAGGCUCGCCCACGGGUCCCCCGCCGACUGCUCUCUGGAGGUCUCAGGGAAGCAGUCAUACCUUCUCGUCUGAGGAGACGCGGCGGAGGCUCCCGAGAAACCGGCCGCUGACCUGCGAAAAGUUAAAGGGGACAAGGCGAGAGACGCUGCUGGCCCCGGACCAGAACUGUCCCCGUCACCCGCUCGGGCCCAAGCAAGAACUCCCUCUGGCCUGCUGCUCGCCAGCCCAGUGGCUCUGUUCGGGCGGGGCUUUGGGCCAAAGGCCCGCCGAGCGCUGCCGACCGCCCUCGGCUCUUUUCGAUUUCCGGGCGCUUCGAGCAGCCUCGGCAGCACGUCGCCAUCCUUCGGCUGUUUCCGCUUUUCUUACGCGGCGUUGUCCUGGCAACGCAGACGGCGCGGCGGCUCAGCCGGGGUUUCAACCCUGACCAGGUCUGUGAUUCAUCAUGGCUCUCUAUUUUGACCACCAAAUCAAAGCCCCGAAUUCUGUUGGAUCACCCUUCCACAUCAGUUGGCAUGCUGUUCACCCAUUCCUGGCAGUUGCUUCCAUGAGUGCAGCCUCAAGAGGCAGUGUGGAUAUCUAUCUGGAACAACUCGGUGUCCUGCUCCUGUGGAGGUUGGACCAGCGGGGUCGGGUGCAGGGAACACCCCUGCUGAAGCACGAAUAUGAAAAGCACCUCACUCAUUGCAUCUUCCGACUUCCCCCUCCUGGCAAGGACCUGGUUCAAUUGGCAAGGGCAGCAGUCAAUGGCGAUGAGAAGGCCCUGGACAUGUUUAACUGGAAGAAAAGCAGCUUUGGAAGUUUCCUGAAGAUGGGAUCUCAAGAGGGGCUGUCAUUCUUCAUCAGUCUCAUGGAUGGGUCAGUCCACUAUGUGGAUGAGAAAGGCAAGACCACCUGUGUGGCAUCCACACACAGCUCCAUCCAGACACUGUUCUACAUUGAGAAGAGAGAGGCGCUGGUGGUGGUCACAGAGAACCUCCUGCUGUCCCUGUACAUGGUGAUGCCUGAGGGUAAAGCUGAGGAAGUGAUGAAGGUGGGUACGAGAGCAGGGUUUGGGCAACCCAGUACACCGCCAUUGUAAAGGGCUGGGGGCCAAGAUUCUCUUGCCUGCUUUGAAUGCCCUUUCUCUCUUAGUUAUUAAGACUGAAACAUCAUUAUGGUUCAAGAACUGCUCUUCAGUAUCAUUUCUGUAACUACAGGAC
rnacentral:lncRNA from 1 species